UUUACAUAUCCGUGUGGAGGUAUAUCAGGGCUCGUGCUGAUGCGAUGCAAGGAUGCCUGAAAGCUUUCAGUCCCUGCGCACUGGACGCAAGGGAAAUGAAAGUGCCGCGACGGAGAGCCCUGCCACGCGUCGGGGACGACAACACUGCAACUGAGCUCGGGGAUGGAGGGAGAGAGAGAGAGAGAGAGAGACGGGCUCCUGCGUGCUCCUGCUCAAAUGACCCGCUGGUCCUGCAAGACAAAAAAAGAGACAGACAGACAGAGUGAGAGAGAAAGAGGACCGGUCAUUUGACUGUGAUGUGUCGCUGUGGCAGACCUGGGCCGAGGCUGAGAGAGAGCUGAUUGGAGGACGGCCAGCGGAACUCGGACGGCCCUGAGGAUGUUUAGCCCUCCCGCUGUGCAGCGGAGCAGGAGGCCAGUGUCCAGCCUUCCCCAGGGAAACAGCAGAAUGGUGCC